GUCACUGUGACCUUCAAUAUAAAAAAUGUUAAAGUUGUUAUAACUUUGGUAUGCUUGGACCUAGAGUCUUGAAACUUGACAUGAAGGUUGGCCAUAACUAGUUAGUAACCACUGGUCAUUUCAAGGUCAUUCAUUUGAAGGUCAAGGUCACUGUGACCUUGAAUGUAAAAAUGUUAAAGUUCUUAUUUCAUGGUAUAACUUUGGUAUGCUUGGACCUAGAGUCUUCAAACUUGACAUGAAGGUUGGCCAGGAUUAACAGAUGACCACUGGUCAUUUCAAGGUCAUUCAUUUGAAGGUCAAGGUCACUGUGACCUUAAAUGUUAUUGUUGUUCAUGUAUAUGCAUGCAUUCAAAACAUAACACAAGGUUUGCUCAUGCCUUGAAAAGUACUUACAUUUCAUUUUGACCUUUGAACAAUAUUUCAGUAAUUUAAGUAUUGCAUUGACAAAACACGAAAGGUACUUUCCUGUCAUUUAAAUAAAAAAUCCGGCUUCAAUGCGGUCAUCUCCGACCGCGGAACUCUUGUCUGGAUCCUGCGAUAACUUUAAAAGUUCUUAAUAUUUUUUCAUGAAACUUUGAACAUGGAUAGAUGGCAAUAUGGACAUUAUGCACGUCAUUUCAUUUUGAUCCUACGUUAAAAAAAUUUGGUUGCUAUGGCAACAAAUAAUAAAAUAUUCUGACAAUGGUGUAAUUUCUGACAAUGGUGGAGCCGGUAGGGGACUUUUAUUGCUUGGCAAUAGUCUUGUUUAAUUGCUCUUUAAGUGCUUGUACUCUUAUCAAUGAUCUGCACUAGAUGCAGCGGAGAACUAUUGUUAUUUAUUCUGGAUGUACAUUAUGCAAUAAAUCAUUUAACGUUUA